GGCCAAGUAGCUCAGUUGGUAGAGCAGAGGACUGAAAAUCCUUGUGUCGGGGGUUCAAUUCCCUCCUUGGCCACCA
rnacentral:tRNA from 1 species